rnacentral:rRNA from 1 species
CAGGUCUUGACAUCCCAUUGACCACUGUAGAGAUACAGUUUUCCCUUCGGGGACAACGGUGACAGGUGGUGCAUGGUUGUCGUCAGCUCGUGUCGUGAGAUGUUGGGUUAAGUCCCGCAACGAGCGCAACCCUUGUUCUUAGUUGCCAUCAUUUAGUUGGGCACUCUAAGGAGACUGCCGGUGACAAACCGGAGGAAGGUGGGGAUGACGUCAAAUCAUCAUGCCCCUUAUGACCUGGGCUACACACGUGCUACAAUGGACGGUACAAACGGUUGCCAACCCGCGAGGGGGAGCUAAUCCGAUAAAACCGUUCUCAGUUCGGAUUGUAGGCUGCAACUCGCCUACAUGAAGCCGGAAUCGCUAGUAAUCGUGGAUCAGCAUGCCACGGUGAAUACGUUCCC